GUUUGUAAAGAGAGAGAGAGGAGAGGAAAAAAAAAAAAAUCUCUUCCAAAAAAGCACCGGUCUGCAGAUGUCUGCGAGAGAACCCACGAACCCUCCUUCUUCUACGGCAGGGCAGUUCCUACCUAGAUGGGCCCAUGAAACCUAUGGUACUGGAGAUGAAGUGAUGCCUCUGAGUUAUUCGGCAUACUUCUGGAAAAGCACACCCACUAAGCCAGCUGCGGCAGGUCUGCCCGUGCUGUGGACAGCUGAAUGUUGGAGCCAAUCGCUGAUCCACCAGUGACAACGAAGAGCUCAGUGCUGCAUGGGCUGAAGCCAGCAUGAAACAGAAAAAAACGAAGCCAAACCCUCAUUACGUUCACUUCUGUGGCCUUACAUGAGUUUGCCAUAAUACCUUCUCACCCUGCAUAGCAUUUCUCUAUCAAGCAGUCUCCUGAAACAUAAAUUCUUUGCUUGUCCCCAUGAUAUAAGAUUUUACUUUAUUUAGAAUGUUUGACUCUGUUUGCAGAGGCGGGGUAAAAAAGCAUUUUAUUUGUGCUACGAAAUGAGAGAGUGGAGCAAGCUUCUGCAAGCAGGCUGCUUUGUUGAGUCAAAUUUAUACUCUCAUUUUGAGUGUGGAGCUUAUACCAUUCUUCACUUCACAGGAAAAGAUAUGCUUUACGCUAAUGCAUAGUAAUCUCUGUACAAUCCCAACUCACUUUCUCUGCUUUCAACCACACCCUAGCGGGAAAUUUCUCUGAGAAAUUAACAUGGGAAUUGGCUCUUAACUGCAUUUUCAAAUAUAUUUAUCAGUUAAAUUUUUUUUGUACUGGUAUGACAAAGAAAUUAUACUAAUAAUAAUAAAAAUAGAUCUGUGAUAACAGAUAAAACCCAGACACUGAAAACUCCUACAUGUGGACCGUUUACUUUCCUAGUACGUUUUGAACAUGAAUUAAGUUAAAUGACUGUUAUUUUCAAAACACAUUUUAAAUUGGAAAAGUGAUGAGUGAAGAAAAUAAAAAUAAGGCAUCAUGUUUAAAAAUCUAAAAGGUGGUGUGUUGUUUUCGCCAAAUAUUAACUAUUAAGAGUGAAGUUGGUUAUAUAGAGUCUUGCAGUAUUUUUAUGUUUUUGUGAUCAGUAUAGUAGAGUGGUUGUAUAUAAUAGAUAAUGCCAGCUAUUUCGGUAUGGGUGUCUUACAGAAGCUAAAUAAAUAAAGAGUGACUUAGCUUCUAUUUACCUUGCAGCAGGUGAACAAAUAAGGUGACAGUGAAAUAAAUUAUUUUUCCUGCCAGCUAAGCAUGUCGUCAAUCCUUCUUACUAAAGUAAUGAAGCAGGGAAACAAUAUUUUGUUUGCUUUUCACUGUGGUGAAGGAGUUUUACAUCAAAAAGGAAGAUAACACUUCAAAUUUAAGGAUAGCUGUGGCUUGGUAUUACAGUCUGCCUACUAAGUCAUGUACUGCUUUCUGUUUUAAAACAAUCUGAAAUGGCUCUAGACUAUCCUGUCAUGAAUAUUGGCUCCUAGAAAUUGCUUGCAUAACUUGUAAAGAACACAUAUGGACAAUUUAUUUAGGUCUCAGAGUCACUGUGUUGUGGAAAUUUUAUCUAUGUACUGCACAGGAUUUCUUUAAAGGAAGUAUUUGUGUCUUCUGUCAAUAAUCAGGUGCUCAGAAUUCUUACCUACUUGUAAAAGUGGAACUGUCAAGUGUUAGUGCAAAAGAAAAAAAAAAUCCUCAUUUAUUUCCUUCUAAUUCAUUCUUUCACUUUGGAGUCCAGGCUUCAGUUUAAACUUAAAUCCACUUUCACUACCAGUUCUGGACUUCUGCAAACUUCUAGACUGUGUACAUAUGACAACUAUGAGAAGCAGUGAGAGGAACGUGAAAGACAGUGCAAAACUGAAUUCUGGGGCAACUGGGAAAAUUGCCAGUAAAUUCAAUGAAGCUUUUCAUGAAAUUCACUGUGUUUUACAUUAAAGCUGAAUUUGGCCCACUGUCUAGAGCUAUUAAAGUUAUAUAGCUUUAAAAAAUUAUAUGAAAUUUUACCUACUUGUAAAAAUUCAAUUUAAUGUUGAAUCUAUUUUAAACCCCCUUGAAAAAUACUUUUAAAUUAUCUGUUAAGGACUCAUAUGGUGUAUGGCUUCUCUCUUUAUUUUCUGUCUGGAUGGAUCAGAUGAAGCACAUGGUGAUGGGUUCCCAUAGUUUCAUGCACACACUUGGUAUCAUCAAAUGAAAAUAUGUAUACAUGGUUCAUUUUUUUUUUUAAGAAAAUUCUUCUGUUGAUGAGGGAUUUUUUUUGACUGUGCUAGAGUGAUAGAUAAUUAAGAUUGUUCUCACCUUUCCCAUUUAAAUUUGUCUUAAAUUGAUGCUUUAGUAAUAGCCAGCUUCUUUAAUCAGUGAAUGUCCAGGAGUUAUGGACCUUGAGAGCUCUACAAAAUCAGACAAACUUUUAUGGCCUAGAGGAUAUGGACAAAUGGCAUUCUUUUCCUGCCUAUCCUAAGGAGGUAUGAAUAGAGAAAUUCAAAUAGGACAGAUCUCAUUUUGUUUUAAGGAAAACGUUGGGACAUGUAUGUAGUGACACAGCCAGUUGAAUUCUGGAGACCAUGAUAACUUGACUGAGUGUUGUCUGGCUUUAGUUUGCAGUAAUUCUAUCUGUCCAGCAGGGGGCCUGGAAUGGGCCCUACUGCCUGUGAAGUUCGGGAGAUUUGCUGCCAUUGUUUCAAAAUGUGUGUUUUGUCUUCUUUGUGUAAAAUAAUGGUACUCUCUUUGGGCCUCUAUAAGUAGCAGCAUGUUUUCUCAGUUGUGAAUAACAGUGUUAAAUGGGAGAUGAGGUUAGAGAGCUCAACAGAAGUUGUAUCCACAGCUUGAAAUCUACUUUGCUCUAAGAAAUGAGGUAAAUCAAAUACUCUGUUGUGUUGCAGCCUUUACAACUAGGACCACAGUACUAAAUAAGGGAUGCAGUAUUUAAAAGAGGAAAAAAGAUAACUACUAUAUUUUGGUAUCAUCAGUUCAAUUUGAGCAUAAACCCCUUGGAUGCCUUUGGGAUAUUUAGAGUGGAUACUGGAAGCACCAAAAGUAAGCCUGUUUAGGUGAGGCCUCCUUGCAGCAUUGUGGCCCUAUUUAGGAUCCACACUUCUAGUUUUGCGGCUACUGGUUCAAGCAAUAGGAGGUAUUGCAGACAGGGAGUGUUAUUGGUGAAUUUUUUGAUGGAAGUCUUUGGGAAUAUUCUGGACAUCAAAUGAUAUGGUCAUAUGUAAGGAGAUACAAAAAAGAGAUCAAAGUACACUUUACAUGCAAAUAGCAGUGAGUUUUGCAGUAUACAUUUUGCUUCCUUGAGAAAGUUAUGAUCAUUAGCUCCUAAUUCUCCAGUCAAACCUAGAGAGGAAUGUAUCUGAAUGCACCAGGUAAGUGUAAGGAAAUUAUGUGAAUGGAAAUGGGUUUCCAUAGUAAAGACUUUACAGCUGUAAAACCUGAGGUCACACAUUUGAAUUCCACACUAUGCAGUUCCUAGGUCAGAGGGCAAAAUUCCUGACCAAAGACUGUAUGCUGACCCUUUUGAAAUAAGCAAAUGUCAUCAAUUUAUUCCCUUAUGGCUGAGUGCCAUUUGCACUAUCUGGAAAUCUUGAGACCAGGACGGCAAGAGAGGUCCAAUACAGAAGCCAAAGUUAUAUUCACUGAUAUUAGACCAUUGCUGUAUCCUGUAAAUUCAUUCAGGGGCACCAGUUUUGAGCAUUGGCAGGUUAACUUCUAUUAAAAACAUGUCUGUAAGAUGAAAAAGACUCCCAUGAAGAAUAUUAGCAGGAUUUGGAUCAUAACAAGAUGUGUACUUGAGUUAUCCCAAAGCACAAGAACUUGCAGUUACUUAAGGUGGAAGGCAGCAAAGGGCGCUCACAGCACUGCUCGGGGGAGUUCAGCUGGUUGACUUGGAACAGACCUCCCCACCUCCUACCUCACUAGCUGUCUUGUGGGUAUAAUAGGGUGGUUAGUCCUGCAUGAGGCAUGAGAUGGCUGUUUUUCCAGCAGCAGUCAUAGUCUUCAACUCAACAACAGCAGAACCUACAAUCAUUUCUGUAAAUCUUUGCUCCCUUUCCCUGCCAUAGGUUUUUCUCUCCAUAUUUUGGUCAAACUCCAAAUAUUUCCUUUUAAAAAUGUAAUUUUCCAAUAUAUCCAGUUACUUAAUUUUUCCAUGAAUUUUCAUUCUGUACAUUCAAGCACCCCUUUUCAUUGCUGGCAUUGCUGCCAGUAAAGUGACUUCUGUUCUGUACUGGUUAUGCCCCAUCAAAGUGCUACUCAGGUUUAAAGCUGCUCUCUAGCAAUUACUCGCUAUUUGAAUUUAUCCUUGCUUAUUUAACUAAUAAUGCAAUAACCUCAAAAACACUAGAAGAGACAGGCAAGAACUUGCAAUUCUUGAUGUUUGUUUACUGUUAUGUUCCCCUGUCAUCACACACAGUAUCCCUUAAUUAUGUAUUUGAAUUAUUGAUGUUUCUCAGUAGUAGAGAGGCAUAUGUCCUCUAGGUGCUUUUUGUUCUAAUUUCUAUCAUUUUACUCUACCAAAUCUAUAUAGAAAAAUAUGGCAUUUACUUUAGUUUACUGUAUGUUGUCAGUAAACUUGCCCAAACAAAGGAAGUAAGACCGCAUCUUUGAGUGACACAAAAUACUGUUGAAAGAGGAAAAAAAACAUUAUACAAUGACAAGAACAACUGUGAGCCAAUAGGAAUAUAAAACGUCUUCACCUUCUUGUUAUCUCACAGCAUUCAGAUGCUCAGAACAGUUUAGAAAGCAUACCGCCCACACCACAGGAUCUUGCUCCUCUUUAAUUUUCUCUAAUUUGUGUAGUGAAUAACCAAAUACUCAUAAUGCAAUUAGAAGAUAAUCAGGCUUGUAAUUAUGUUAAUUGCUGGAGACUUACAUCAAUCCUCCAGCAAAGUGAUAGGAUUUCAGGGGAACUAUUAACAUGGGAAGAGAGAGGAAGCACACAUGAGAGAGAAAGAGAUUGGGGGAGUGGGUAAAUUGAUGAACAGCUUAGGCUUGUAUCAUUGAGCAACAAUGAGAAUACAAUGGUGCAACAAAUGAAAAGGGCCUCAGGGGGAGAAGCUCAGAAAAUGAGGUUUUAGGUACCAGCAACUCAACCUCUUUUGUCUGUUUUCUUCCCAUAAAUAAUCAUGUUGUGCAUCUAUAUUUAUUGUAAUAAGCCCAAUUCAGAGAAAUCGGAUCCAUAGCUGAACAGAGAACAAAGGGGAACUGUUCAGCUAUGCAGCAGUUUGCCGUGUCUCCCACACCACUGAAAGAGCCACUGUAUUACCUUCUGUCCUCAACUCCUGGGGGUAUUCUUUUCUCAUGGUGAUGUCCAAUAUUACAUUUAAAGCCAUAAUAUUGCAACUGCAAUGGGCCGUCUCAGAAAUGUCAUGGAUCAGUCAUAAUUUGUGAAGAACAUACAAUACAGAGUGGACUGACAGAAUUUAUGAAAUAAUCAACAGUAGAAAUGCUUUUUUUUUUUUUUUUAAUUUACCUUUUUUUCAGUACCUCAUUGAGUUUGCAGUGAUUGUUUAAGCCUUUUGAAAGUGAGUUUUGUCAGAUGAAGUCUGAUAUAAGUUGUAAACAAUAACUAUAGUCUAUUAGUGUGGCUAUUUCUGAGUUUAUAGAACAGUUUUUUGUGUUUACACUACUUGUCAGAAAUUGCCUAGCUAGCUUAAAAUAAAAAUGGAUUUAUAAAAUAAUAUUAUUAUUAUCACUAAGAUACUUGUUCACAGUUUAAAAGAUUAGACACAAAGACAAACUAGUAAGGAUCAAGGAAGUCAGGCUACCCUUGCCCACAGCUGUCAUGAUGAAGAUAAUAAAGAAAAAGAUAAUGAAUAAUA